rnacentral:rRNA from 1 species
UACAGAGGGGGCUAGCGUUAUUCGGAAUUAUUGGGCGUAAAGGGCGCGUAGGCGGCCAUGCGUGUCUUCCGUGAAAUCCCUCGGCUUAACUGAGGACGUGCGGAAGAAACUGCAAGGCUCGAGUCCGGGAGAGGGGGGUGGAAUUCCCAGUGUAGCGGUGAAAUGCGUAGAUAUUGGGAGGAACACCGGUGGCGAAGGCGGCCCCCUGGACCGGUACUGACGCUGAUGCGCGAAAGCGUGGGGAGCAAACGGG